UACAGAGGUCUCAAGCGUUGUUCGGAUUCAUUGGGCGUAAAGGGUGCGUAGGCGGCGCGGUAAGUUGGGUGUGAAAUCUCGGAGCUUAACUCCGAAACUGCAUUCGAUACUGCCGUGCUUGAGGACUGGAGAGGAGACUGGAAUUUACGGUGUAGCGGUGAAAUGCGUAGAUAUCGUAAGGAAGACCAGUGGCGAAGGCGGGUCUCUGGACAGUUCCUGACGCUGAGGCACGAAGGGCAGGGGAGCAAACGGG
rnacentral:rRNA from 1 species